GAUGAACGCUGGCGGCGUGCUUAACACAUGCAAGUCGAAUGUACCAAUACAUGGCUGACUGGUGAGUAACGCGUGACCGAUCUGCCCAUAUCUGGGGGAUAACCGUUGGAAACGACUGAUAAUACCGCAUAAUAUGGUUUGAAGGCAUCUUCAAACCAUCAAAGAUUUAUCGGAUAUGGAUGAGCUCGCGUCUGAUUACCUAGAUGGAGAGGUAACCGCUCACCUAGGCGACUAUCAGUAUCCCACCUGACAGGGUGAUCGACCACUUUGCAACUGAAACACGGGCCCAACUCCUACGGGAGGCAGCCGUGGGGAAUAUUGGGCAAUGGAGGAAACUCUGACCCUCCUCCGCCGCGUGAAUGAUGAAGGUCUUCCGAUUGCACAGUUCUUUUCUAAGGGAACAACACAGUGACCGCACCUUAUGAAUAAGCCUCGGCUAACUACUUGCCGUCCGCCUCGGGACUACAUAUGAGGCAAGCGUUAUCCGGAAUGACUGGCCGUAAACGGUGCGUAUGUGGUUUGGCAAGUUAUUAUCGUAACUCCGGAGCUCAACUUCGGAACUACUACUAAAACUGUCUGACUUGAGUGCAGGAGGGGCAACUGGAAUUCCUAGUGUAGCGGUGGAAUGCGUAGAUAUUAGGAGGAACACCAGUGGCGAAGGCGAGUUGCUGGACUGUAACUGACACUGAGGCACGAAAGCGUGGGGAGCAAACAGGAUUAGAUACCCUGGUAGUCCACGCCGUAAACGAUGAAUACUAGGUGUAGGGGGUAUCGACUCCCUCUGUGCCGCCGCUAACGCAUUAAGUAUUCCGCCUGGGGACUACGACCGCAAGGUUGAAACUCAAAGAAAUUGACGGGGACCCGCACAAGCAGCGGAGCAUGUGGUUUAAUUCGACGCAACGCGAAAAACCUUACCAGGCCUUGACAUUGAGUGAAAGUCCAAGAGAUUGGACCCUCCUUCGGGACACAAAAACAGGUGCUGCAUGGUUGUUGUCAGCUCGUGUCGUGAGAUGUUAGGUUAAGUCCUGCAACGAGCGCAACCCUCAUAUACAGUUGCCAAUAUUAAGUCAGGAACUCUGUAUAGACUGCCGUGCUUAACACGGAGGAAGGUGGGGAUGAUGUCAUAUCAUCACGGCCCUUACGGCGUGGGCUACACACGUGCUACAAUGGCUAUUACAAAGAGUUGCAAUACAGCAAUGCGGAGAGUAUCUCAAAAAGAUAGUCUCAGUUCGGAUCGAGUGCUGCAACCCGCCCACGUGAAGUGGGAGUUGCUAGUAAUCCCGAAUCCGCAUGUCGGGGUGAAUGCGUUCCCGUGUCU
rnacentral:rRNA from 1 species